rnacentral:rRNA from 1 species
UACGUAGGGGGCUAGCGUUGUCCGGAAUCAUUGGGCGUAAAGAGCGCGUAGGCGGCCAGAUAAGUCCGGUGUGAAAGUCACAGGCUCAACCUGUGAAUGCCGCUGGAUACUGCUGGACUUGAGUCCGGAAGAGGAGAGUGGAAUUCCUGGUGUAGCGGUGAAAUGCGCAGAUAUCAGGAGGAACACCGGUGGCGAAGGCGGCUAUCUGGACAGAGUCUGACGCUGAGGCGCGAAGGUCAGGGGAGCAAACGGG